GACGGAGGGUGCAAGCGUUGUUCGGAAUCACUGGGCGUAAAGCGCGUGUAGGCGGUUCGAUAAGUCGGACGUGAAAGCCCGGGGCUUAACCCCGGAAGGGCAUCCGAAACUGUUCAGCUAGAGUAAGGGAGAGGAAAGUGGAAUUCCUGGUGUAGAGGUGAAAUUCGUA
rnacentral:rRNA from 1 species